rnacentral:rRNA from 1 species
GACAGAGGGUGCAAACGUUGUUCGGAAUUACUGGGCGUAAAGCGUGUGUAGGCGGCCUUGCAAGUCGGAUGUGAAAGCCCCGGGCUCAACCCGGGAAGUGCACCCGAAACUGCAAGGCUCGAGUACCGGAGAGGUUGGUGGAAUUCUCGGUGUAGAGGUGAAAUUCGUAGAUAUCGAGAGGAACACCGGUGGCGAAGGCGGCCAACUGGACGAGUACUGACGCUGAGGCGCGACAGCGUGGGGGAGCAAACAGG